UGUAAUAGGCCGAAAGAACCACAUAUCCCUCAAGCAGAGCGCGCGCCUCUGCCAUCCCCAAACCACCGCCGCGCGUACCGCCGCCGCGCGUACACCGAAGCCACCGCUGCCGCGCUCCUCCGAAGCUCUCCGACGCGCGCGCCUGUGCUCUCGACCCGCGGUCGACGACGCCGCUGCCAGCUCGCCGGUGGCUCCUCUUCCACCCCGCUAUCCGAUGGCAUACCCGCUCCUUCCUCUAGCUCAAGGUGUGGAUUUUAGGUAUCUAGGGAAGAUUUACUUAAGUAACUAGUGCGCGGUAACCUGUAUGGCAGCAAGCUUUGCAAGUAGUGAUCAUCAACCUGAAGUAAAUAACAUCGGGCGCAAAAAGUAAAGUGGACAUGAGUGGUAUGCCAGACUAUCUGACGAGAAGAAUCAACAGAUGGCCCGACUACAAAAGAAAGUUGCAGCCCUCUGUGUGAAUGUCACUGUACCUCAAUCCUCUACCCCACAAGUUUCACCUGGGGCUCUUCGUCACUCUCAAUCCCAUCCUCAUCAAGUUCCUCUAUGUCAGCAUCAUUCUCCUGAGAUUCUUGUUGCUCCGGCCCAGGAUGAAUGUUAUUGAUUUCAGCAUUAUAUUCCGGAGGCACUUCAGCACUGGUUUCAGAUUCUUGUUGCUCCGGCCCAGGCUGAAUGUUGUUGAUUUCAGCAUAAUAUUCUGGAGGUACUUGAGCACUGGUUUUAGAUUCGUGUUGCUCCGGCCCAGGAUGAAUGUUAUUGAUUUCAGCAUUAUAUUCCGGAGGCACUUGAGCACUGGUUUCAGAUUCUUGUUCCUCCAGCCCAGACUGAAUGUUGUUGGUUUCAGCAUAAUAUUCUGGAGGUACUUGAGCACUGGUUUCAGAUUCUUGUUGCUCCAUCCCAGGAUGAAUGUUAUUGGUUUCACCAUUAUAUUCCGGAGGCACUUCAGCACUGGUUUCAGAUUCUUGUUGCUCCGGCCCAGGCUGAAUGUUGUUGGUUUCAGCAUAAUAUUCCGGAGGUACUUGAGCACUGGUUUCAGAUUCUUGCUGCUCCGGCCCAGGCUGAUUGUUGCUGAUUCCACCAUUAUUCUCCUGGUGUACUAGAUCAUUUGUUCCAUGUGCUUCUUCCUUAUCCCACAGACUACUCUUCUCAAUACCACAGUGGCUAAGCAAUGCCCAGAUGAGGGUUAUGAACUCGCCUCCCGACUCGAGCUGAUACUUGUGAUCUGCUGCAUUCCAACUUGGGGCCAUGUGCACAAGUAAGUCGGCCCACACUUCAGCUAGAAUCUUCCAACGGCUUUCUUGAUCCUCGUUCUUGAUCAGGGCCUUGCCAAGAGCAGCACCUUGCUGCACUAUGUUCAUGCCCGUAACCCUAUCCACUUUCUUCAGCUCGUCUUCUUCCGCUAUGGCAAUGAGUUUGCUAUAACUACACUUUCUCAAGUUGCAAUCUUUGAGUUGUUCACGAACAUCUCGUAAUGUCUCCACAAAGAUCAUACCAGGCACAACAAAACUAUCUGGCAACAGCGCAGACCGAAAAACCUGCAGGUACGACGGCUUGGAAGUGCGGCUGACGAGUGUCUUCAGGCCUGACCAAGCAGAGCGAAAGAACCCAGGUUUGCUCAAGUCAAUUUGACAGUUUCGGGCAAGCUCGAUCUCGCAGAGGCUGGUGGCGAUGUGCCACACCAGAAUGACCUGAGAGCAUGUGUGUAGCUCGAGGCAGGCCCAGCUGUACCGCUCAAACCUUUCCAGUGAGCCACUCAGCGAUGGAAUUUCUUUGGGCAGCUGACUUUUCUUGAGAUCCACGUGGCGGAGUGCAUUUAAGAUUGCUGACUUGACACAUUUUGGGACCUUGAUAGACUUGCCAAGUUUUCUUCCAUCUAAUUCCUGUUGCAUAUUUCUCAUGCUAAUGGUAUUCGCUGCUUUCUGAAAUAAUGAUUUGUAAUUGCAGGACUCCAAGAAGUCGUACUGGUCCAUGCAUCCAUGCCAUGCAUCACAAAUACUGGACUUGUAAAAUAAUCUGAUAAGACGCCCAUCAAGACAAAACCAACUGAACCAAGGUCGGCUCUGCAGAUACUUGCACACGAGGAGUAAUCUUGUCCAGUUCGACAGCAGGGGUACUUGGUUGUAGACCGUUCGGAUGUCCACAGCCAGCCAGAGGGCGACAAAGAAGGUUGCCAUUGACAGGAGGAGACUGAACAACAUAGAACCAAGCCCGCUCCAGAAGACCAGAGGGUAGAGGGUGUGGAAGUAGUCUCUCGUGAAUGCAAGCUCUAUCUCCAAGAUUUUGAAGGCCCGCUCACCCUCCGUCUCUGCCGCUAUUUCUGGUUCAGGCACUGUUGUUGUCUCCGCUGCAGCCACUGCUGACGCUGGCGUUGAUGCUGUCUCUCCCACCAUUUGCACAGCCACCACCGUCUCACUCGGUGCCGUCUCCGCUACUGCCUCUGCUGCCGUUUGUUGUGGACUAUCGGUGAUUCUUGAAGUGAUUAGAUUCCGUGUGCUGUCAAUACCUUCUGUUUGUAGGUUCACGUCUUCAAACCUACAACGAAGCAACCUAGACAGUGCGAAAGCCAAGCUGAUAUCCUUGUAUUUGCUGCUGCUACCGGAUGUUAGUACCGGAUCUGUGCAUCCCAAGAUCUUGUCCAGUGUGAUCAGCGACCUCGCGUCGACUUCCUCAAGAUGUAGAGUAUAACUAGGCCUCCUUAAACUGAUGUUCUUAUUGGACUCUCCGCAAACCAGGAACUUCUCAUCGUUGUUGUUGUUAUUGUUGUCCUGGCCAUCGACCUGCGCACCGCUGCCCUGUUCAUGGUCCCGAGCACGGUUGCGCAUGUACUCCGGGAGGAAUUCAGAGUUCUGGCCAUGCAAC